rnacentral:rRNA from 1 species
CUUACCAUGCAAGUCGAACGGAAAGGCCCUGCUUUUGUGGGGUGCUCGAGUGGCGAACGGGUGAGUAACACGUGAGUAACCUGCCCUUGACUUUGGGAUAACUUCAGGAAACUGGGGCUAAUACCGGAUAGGAGCUCCUGCUGCAUGGUGGGGGUUGGAAAGUUUCGGCGGUUGGGGAUGGACUCGCGGCUUAUCAGCUUGUUGGUGGGGUAGUGGCUUACCAAGGCUUUGACGGGUAGCCGGCCUGAGAGGGUGACCGGCCACAUUGGGACUGAGAUACGGCCCAGACUCCUACGGGAGGCAGCAGUGGGGAAUAUUGCACAAUGGGCGGAAGCCUGAUGCAGCAACGCCGCGUGCGGGAUGACGGCCUUCGGGUUGUAAACCGCUUUCGCCUGUGACGAAGCGUGAGUGACGGUAAUGGGUAAAGAAGCACCGGUUAACUACGUGCCAGCAGCCGCGGUGAUACGUAGGGUGCGAGCGUUGUCCGGAUUUAUUGGGCGUAAAGGGCUCGUAGGUGGUUGAUCGCGUCGGAAGUGUAAUCUUGGGGCUUAACCCUGAGCGUGCUUUCGAUACGGGUUGACUUGAGGAAGGUAGGGGAGAAUGGAAUUCCUGGUGGAGCGGUGGAAUGCGCAGAUAUCAGGAGGAGCACCAGUGGCGAAGGCGGUUCUCUGGGCCUUUCCUGACGCUGAGGAGCGAAAGCGUGGGGAGCGAACAGGCUUAGAUACCCUGGUAGUCCACGC